UAUUUAAACUAGGGAUAGACCGAUUAUUGGCCCUGGACGACUAUCGGGCCGUUUUUUAGCAGUUUGCAGAUUAUCUAUAUCAGCGUUUUAUUUGCCUGAUAACCGAUAAAGU